UUCGACGGUCAUAGCGGUGGGGUCCCACCUGUUCCCAUCCCGAACACAGAAGUUAAGCCCGCCUGCGUAGUUUGUUGUACUGUUGUGCGAGAGCCAACGGGAAGCUUGCAACGCUGUCGACC
rnacentral:rRNA from 1 species